rnacentral:ncRNA from 2 species
UAAGUGAUUAACGUUAAACCUCAUAUAUAAUUGGGAAUAUGGCCCAGAAGUUUCUACCCGUUGACCGUAAAUCAUCGGACUAUGAGGGAAAGUGUACGUAUA